UCCCUGGUGGCUCAGAGGGUAAAGCAUCUGCCUGUGAUGCGGAAGACCCAGUUUCGAUCCCUGGGUUGGGAA
rfam:TPA: Bos taurus chromosome 9, whole genome shotgun sequence.